GACUCUGUGGUGAAAUUCAUGUUGAGUUGCAAGCUCAUCGAUGUACAUGAGAAAUGUGCCGGAGUCU
rnacentral:tRNA from 1 species